rnacentral:rRNA from 1 species
GUGUCAGCCGCCGCGGUAAGACAGAGGUUGCAAACGUUGUUCGGAAUUACUGGGCAUAAAGCGCACGUAGGUGGUCCGCUAAGUCGUGUGUGAAAUGCCCCGGCUCAACCGGGGAAUUGCGCACGAUACUGGCGGGCUUGAGGUCGGGAGGGGUGAGUGGAACUCCUGGUGGAGCGGUGAAAUGCGUAGAUAUCAGGAGGAACACCGGUGGCGAAAGCGGCUCACUGGCCCGAAUCUGACACUGAGGUGCGAAAGCUAGGGUAGCAAACGGGAUUAGAAACCCCGGUAGUCC